UGAAACGUGCUAUUUGUGUGUGUGCGCGUGUGUGUGUGUGUGUGUGUGUGUGUGUGUGUGUGUGUGUGUGUGUCUGUAUGUGUGUGUGUAUCUGUGUUUGUGUGCACAUGUGUGAAGGACCUCAUGUAGAGGUUCAAGGACAACUUUCAAGAGUCAGUUCUGUCCUUCCACCCUGGGACUUGGCGCUUACACUAUGGUUGUUGUGCUAGCACAGCAAACUCCUUUACUUGCUAAGCUUUUUGUUGCCUUGUGUUUCUUCAUUUUUGUCAGUGUUAUGGUUUGUGGGGGUCAGGGGUUUUCAAGAGGGGACAUACAGGUCAGGGAUCAUUUCUGAAUUUAGUAAUAUUUUAAAAGUCCAUCCCAAAGGUAAAUAACUUAGCAUCCUUGGUGUAGUAGACGAAUGGAAUUAAAGACUCCAAUUUUCAGUCAAGGAUCAAGUCUCCUUUAGAUUAAUUUUUAUGCAGUGUUAUUCUAAGUAAAGUUUCCCCUGGGAGCAAGUUAGAAUUCUCUACUGCAGACCUACCCAGCAGUUUACAUUUGAACAUCAUUCUUCAGGGAUUCAUAAAAUAUUUAUACAAAGAUCAAGAUCGUUAUCCAUUAAAAGUUCACAUUUUAAGUAACCUUCAUCCAGCAACUGAAGGAAGCAGGUACAGAGAUCCACAACCAAGCACCAGGCCGAGCUCCAGGAGCCAGUUGAAGAGAGGGAAUAAGAAUGAGGAAGAUGGGGUCAUGAUCAUGAUGGGGAAAUCUACAGAGACAACUGGACCAAGUUCGUGGAAACUCACGAACUUUAGACCAACAGCUGUGGAGCCCUCAUGGGACUAUACUACCCUCUGCAUGCGGGAGAAACUUGGUCUCUUCGAGGGGCCCCUGGCAGUGGGAUCUAUCCCUGGUGCAUGAUCUGGCUUUCUGGAUCCCAUUACCUAUGGUGGGACACCUUGCUCACCCUUGACGCAUGGUGGAGGAGCUUGGUCCUGACUCAACUGAAUGUACCAGGCUUUCCUGUUCCCACAUGGAAGGACUAACCCUUUUGGAGGAGAGGAUGGGGCAUUGCGGGGGAAGGAGGAAGGAGAUGCAGUAGGGAUGAGAGGGGGAUCUGAGGUUGGUAUGUAAAAUGAAUUAAAAAAUUAAAAAAUAAGCCAUUUCGUGUA